rnacentral:rRNA from 1 species
UACGUAGGGGGCAAGCGUUGUCCGGAAUCAUUGGGCGUAAAGCGCGUGUAGGCGGCUCGGUAAGUCUGCUGUGAAAGUCCAGGGCUCAACCCUGGGAUGCCGGUGGAUACUGUCGAGCUCGAGUCCGGAAGAGGCGAGUGGAAUUCCUGGUGUAGCGGUGGAAUGCGCAGAUAUCAGGAGGAACACCAACGGCGAAGGCAGCUCGCUGGGACGGUACUGACACUGAGGCGCGAAAGCGUGGGGAGCGAACAGG